UAUAAAUAGCAAUAAAAGAGAGAGAGAGAGAUACAAAAGAAGCUUACACAAUAACAAUGAAGAAGAUAAUAGUUGUAGUGAUGAUUAUUGUUUUCAUCUUUUCCCAUUUUGAGACUGUCCAACCCUCCGCUGCCGACUGCAACGACGCUUGUUCCACUGCCUGUGUUCAAGAAGACUCAAGGCUUAUGCAGCGUUGUGACCGCAAGUGCCAGAUUAAGUGCGAUCCAGACUCAUCCACUGUCAAAACUGGAAGGCCAUAAACUGUAGCUUGAGACUGAAAUUCUUCAACUAUGGAAUUGGAAGAUGACAAGUGAAGAAGACAUCAUGCUGUAUAAUAUUUGUGCUCUGUGGAAUAUGUAAUAAGUAAUUUCUUAAUUAUGAGAAAUUGUAUUUAGCAAUAUUCUUGCUCAAUAUAAUUCCAAAUCUUAAUCUCA